rnacentral:rRNA from 1 species
GAUGAACGCUGGCGGCGUGCCUAAUACAUGCAAGUCGAGCGGUAAGGCCCCUUCGGGGGUACACGAGCGGCGGACGGCUGAGUAACACGUAGGUACGUACCCCAAAGUGAGGGAUUAGCACCAGAAAUGGUGUCUAAUACCGCAUGUGCUCUAAGGAGUAAAGCUUCGGCGCUUUGGGAACGGCCUGCGCAUGAUUAGCUUGGUGGUGAGGUAAUGGCUCACCAAGGCGACGAUCAUUAGCUGGUUUGAGAGAACGACCAGCCACACUGGGACUGAGACACGGCCCAGACUCCUACGGGAGGCAGCAGUGGGGAAUAUUGGACAAUGGGGGAAACCCUGAUCCAGCAAUGCCGCGUGGGUGAUGAAGGCCUUCGGGUUGUAAAGCCCUUUUGGCGGGGACGAUGACGACGGUACCCGCAGAAGAAGCCCCGGCUAACUUCGUGCCAGCAGCCGCCGCCG